CAUGUGGUUGUUUCUCACACUAGAUUUGAGUUUUACUAGUGUGGUAGCUAGUGUUGGUUUUAUACCCUGAAAGUGGGAUGUGUCAGUAUAUUACACUUGAUAAUUAUUUAGUUUCUGAGCCAGGAACAAAUUAAGAAAAGGUUUUUGUUUAUGUGUGUGAGAAUCUAGGAUUGUUCAACACAACCUUGAUUUAGGUUCUAAUUAUCAAUUUGGGCUUAGUGACGCAUUAGGAAGUCAGAGGAGGAGGAUCCUGAUCUUGAUGUCAGCUUCAGCCACAUGGGGCUGAGCAUCUGGGAAGGAAAGAAAGAAAAGACAUAGCACAUGGGGCCAGAGGUAACAACAGCAUCACAAGAAGGCCUUUGUUUGUGGUUCUUAUGGGUUUCUAUAUACUAAGCCAUAAAAAAUACUGCCCACGAAGAAAGAUUCAGUCAGAUUAUACAGAUAGUAAAUUGUCAACUACUACAGUUGGACGCAUAUGACAGAGUUACACCUACAAACCCCUGUGGAAGGUUAAUGACUUCCAUGAAAAUGAUUACAAAUGGAGAAGUCAAUACAAACACACACACACACACACACACACACACACACACACACACACACACACACACAGAGACACACACACAUAUAAAGCACUUCAUUCUGAAUGCUGCAGUGAUCUAUCUAAGGCAAAGGAAAUUGUUCUGUCAGGAAACUUGUCUUAAAAUGCAUACAGAUAUGAUAAAGUCCUAUUUUUCAUGCUAGAUAUUGCUGAAAAUUUGGCCAUGUAUCCGGAGAACCAUAAAAAAAAUCCCCCACAUUGUAAGUUUUCAGAAUCCCUUGAGAAUCACAUUACCUUUGUUAAAAAUUAAAAGGAAAAAAAUAAAAGCCACUACUUCUUGUACAUUCAGGAACUGAUAGUCGUUAUCUUUGAAGGGAAGAAAAUGAAAACAGGCCAAGUCAUACAUCUACAUUCCAGACUGUUUACUCUCUUAUCAAAUUAAAUGAAACGAGAGCCCUGGCUGGCUCACUGACAGUUCCUAGCCAACCAUCAUUUUUUCAUUCUGAAUUUCACCAAGGUCUUAGAAUUCUUAAGAUAAGCUUCAGAGAAUCAACUGUAAACCCGGGAGAGAAAAAAGAAAACAACUUUGGUAUUUUUAAGAUACCUAUCCUUCCUCGCAAGACAGGGUUUUCGACAAUGUUGGAGGAGAGGAAAGGUGUGGGGACCAAGGCAUCAUGACAAGAUGACAGUUGACAAACUACAAAUCCUUCUCCAUUAAGUCUCCAUGUAAUAAAACAGAGCAGGACAUAGGAACUUGGAAAUCUCAGUGGGUGAUCUCAGGAUUCAGCUUCACAACUUCUGACAUCCAUUCUAUCCAGUUACAUCUAUAAAAGAUUCAUCCUCAUACUGCCCUCUGAAAGACCCAUCAAGCAGCUGAAAGAGUCAGAUGCAGAUAUUUGCACCCAACCAAUGAACAGAAGCUGCUGACCUCUCUGGUUGAAUUAGGGGAAAGCUGGAGGAAGCUGACGAGGAGCUGACAAGCAACCUUUUAGGAGGACCAGCAGUCUCAAUUAACCUGGACUCGCGAGAUCUCUCAGACACCAUAUCACCAACCAGGCAGCAUACAUGAGUUUAUAUAAGGCCUCCAACACAUAUCCAGCAGAGAACUCCUGGGUCUGGAUUGAAUCAGAGAAGAUGCACCUAACCCUCAAGAGACUGGAGGCCCUAGGGAGUUUAGAG